rnacentral:rRNA from 1 species
CCGCUGGGGAGUACGGUCGCAAGACUGAAAUCAAAAGGAAUUGACGGGGGCCCGCACAAGCGUGGAGCAUGUGGUUUAAUUCGAAGCAACGCGAAGAACCUUACCAGGUCUUGACAUCCUCUGACAACCCUAGAGAUAGGGCUUUCCCUUCGGGGACAGAGUGACAGGUGGUGCAUGGUUGUCGUCAGCUCGUGUCGUGAGAUGUUGGGUUAAGUCCCGCAACGAGCGCAACCCUUGAUCUUAGUUGCCAGCAUUCAGUUGGGCACUCUAAGGUGACUGCCGGUGACAAACCGGAGGAAGGUGGGGAUGACGUCAAAUCAUCAUGCCCCUUAUGACCUGGGCUACACACGUGCUACAAUGGACAGAACAAAGGGCUGCAAGACCGCAAGGUUUAGCCAAUCCCAUAAAUCUGUUCUCAGUUCGGAUCGCAGUCUGCAACUCGACUGCGUGAAGCUGGAAUCGCUAGUAAUCGCGGAUCAGCAUGCCGCGGUGAAUACGUUCCCGGGCCUUGUACACACCGCCCGUCACACCACGAGAGUUUGCAACACCCGAAGUCGGUGAGGUAACCUUUAUGGAGCCAGCCGCCGAAGGUGGGGCAGAUGAUUGGG